UGGGGAAUUUUGGACAAUUGGGCGAAAGCCUGAUCCAGCAAUGCCGCGUGUGUGAAGAAGGCCUUCGGGUUGUAAAGCACUUUUGUCCGGAAAGAAAUCCUUGGCUCUAAUACAGUCGGGGGAUGACGGUACCGGAAGAAUAAGCACCGGCUAACUACGUGCCAGCAGCCGCGGUAAUACGUAGGGUGCAAGCGUUAAUCGGAAUUACUGGGCGUAAAGCGUGCGCAGGCGGUUUGCUAAGACCGAUGUGAAAUCCCCGGGCUCAACCUGGGAACUGCAUUGGUGACUGGCAGGCUAGAGUAUGGCAGAGGGGGGUAGAAUUCCACGUGUAGCAGUGAAAUGCGUAGAGAUGUGGAGGAAUACCGAUGGCGAAGGCAGCCCCCUGGGCCAAUACUGACGCUCAUGCACGAAAGCGUGGGGAGCAAACAGGAUUAGAUACCCUGGUAGUCCACGCCCUAAANGAUGUCAACUAGUUGUUGGGGAUUCAUUUCCUUAGUAACGUAGCUAACGCGUGAAGUUGACCGCCUGGGGAGUACGGUCGCAAGAUUAAAACUCAAAUGAAUUGACGGGGUCAUAGCUGUUUCCU
rnacentral:rRNA from 1 species